GCCUCGAUAGCUCACCUGGUAGAGCACAAAACUGAAGUUUUUGGGGAAUUGGUUCAAGUCCAGUUCGAGGCA
rnacentral:tRNA from 4 species